UCUGUUCAGUAGAACACUUCGGAAACUCAAGGGAUCAUGCACUCAGACCUCAAAUUUCAUGUGGUCGCUCCUCUCUCUCUCUCUGCACACACUGAAGCCUUCUCGGUAUCCAUUGUGGCCUCGAGAUCUCCUGAGGCUGCAGGCUUUUCUUUGGGAAGGAUUAUGAAAGUACACACCGAGUUCUCUGCAUUUGUAGCUUUUGCUUUCUGUGAUAUGAUGGACACGCGUGCUAUGGAGGACACAUGGAGGUCAGACGACAGCCUACAGGAGUCAGUUCUUUCUCUCUACCACGUGGUUCCUGGGACCAAGCUUAGGUUACCAGGCUUCUAAAUGAUCUCAGAACACACACUCACCUGGGACGAAAUAAUCUGAGGGGUACCCGACGCCUUGUCGCCUUCGGGCUGGUGUGCCACUUGAAUCCCUCCUUGUACUUCCUCCAUCCCUGGGUGACAUGUUCCCUCUUGUGCAGACUGUGACCUCAAGUGGCUUUCUCGAUAUCUGCAGUACUUUAAUCUUCUCCUCAGGACUGUGUGACUUCCCGACUGAGUUCUGUGAGCAGUAAAUGAGACAGACAAGCGGGGGGUUUUGCUCUUGUGAGACAGGAUCUCAAUCUGCAGCCCACACUGGCCUGGAAUUCACAACAAUUCUCCUGGCUCCAUCUCUGCUGUUCCAGAGUUACAGGGCUCAACCUAAACUGAGGCAAUUCAAGGUCAUACACUCAUAGCUCAGACUUGAGAUGAAGCUACCAGUUCAGAAAACCUGCUUGUCACAUCACACAGUCAAGGUAAGAUGCCCGGAGAAUCAGUGCCUAGUAGACUAUUACCUUGUCGGGAGAAUUGCAAAGCCAGGCAAGCUUGUAAUCUCAGUAGCUAGGAAGCUGAGGCCCAAGACACAAGACCAGCCUGAGGGACACAGCAAAACCGCAGAGAGUAGCAGCCUCUCAGAAACAUGACAGAGAGGGCUGAGGUCAUUGCCCAGAUCACAUGCAUCAUUUUAUUUAAUCGUCAUGAAAACCCUGGGAUGUCAGUGGUGUCGUCAUCCCCAACUUUUGGAUGAGCAACGGACACAUCAAUGAAUGAGUUAGCCUCCUGGGCCACCCAACUGUAAGUGGUAGAGCUGGAGAGUGAGCCCAGACAUGUCCGGUCCCAAAGCCUGUACUUCUCAGCCUACAGGCUGCACAGGGGAGGCAUGCCACUGACAGCGAGACCGCUACUUCCACAGGAAGCUCUGAGAGCAAAGCCUUCCUCUACUGUAGAUGGUGUUUCUAUGUACAAAGAGAUAGAGCCAUCUAAAGCAGUGGUUUUUAGCCUGUGGGUUGAGACCCUUUUAGGGCUGAAGGACCCUUUUACAAGGGUCACCUAAGACCAUCAGAAAACACAGACAUUCGUAACAGUAACAACAUUACAGCAAAAGUGUAGGAGAUGAGGAGAUCUCUCCGUGGGCAAGGCAUCUGCUGCACAAGCCUGAGGACCUGGGUUCAGAUUUCUAGCACCUACAUAGAAGCCGAGCACAGCAACAUGUGUCUAACCCGGCCACUCGGAGGAGGCACACACAGCAGACUUGCUGGAAUUCCAGCUCUCACAAUCUUUCCACCCCCCUCUUCCGCAAUGUCCCCUGAGCCAUGGAUGCGGGAGCUGUGGUGUGGAUGAAUUCACUGGGGCCUGGGUUCCUCGCAUCCUCUUGAUCUCUACAUGUGUCCAGUUGCAGUUCUGUUCUGGUUGCCUUUUGCUGUAAAAAGAGGCUUGCUUGAUGAGGAGUGAGAGCUACACUUUCCUGUGCGUGCAGGAUACGAUUUAGAAUAUAGUAAGGAACUGUGCUGGUCUAGCAAGCUGAUGGCAGUAGACUCUCUUCUAAGGCCCCUGACCGAACUAGGCCCAAGCACUGGCUAGGUAUAAUUUCUAUAGAGGGAGUUUGAAUGGAGACACCAGGCAUGGAUGGUGAAUGAUGCUACUCCUACAAACCAUGGAUUAUUAAACAAAGAUCCAGCUACCUCCCUAUGAGUUGUCACUCACAGAGGCCACAGAGGUCUCCAAAGCAGUAUAAACUAUGGCUGUUGCUCCUGACUACCGUCUAGAACUCACCUACUGCUGAAGACACUACAUAGGUCAGUUGUAGGGCAUCAAGCUAGGACUGACCUGGAAGUGCCUUUUGCUGGGUGCUUUCAUACUGUUAGAAGGGGCUGUGCAGCCCACUGGAGAAGUCAUCACUCUUCCUCCUCCAGAGUUGGAUCCUGGGGGCUACAACACCAACCUGCCAGGCAAGGUGUGCCUGUGGGUACAUCCGUGGCAUGAGGAUUAUGGAAGUUUGUGAGCAACCACUUUCUGACUGAGGCUAAUGCUACAGGAGGGAGAAUAAAUGUCUGGUCCUAUACCCUUGCCCAAGAGCCUAUGGCCAAAGAGGUCAUGGACCCAAGCCAGCCUGAGCCUCCAGAUGUUUCUUCUCUGACAAUACACACCAAGCACUGACGUGCUCCAUGCCUGGGUCCAUGGGAAGCCGCUCUCGCUCCGGAGCCUCCUCCAGGUCACCAAGUUUGAAUGACACUGUCCUCUCCUCCACCACAGCCCGGAGUGGCCCAGUGGCACACACUACCUCAGACACAGGAUUCCUAUGCUCAACAUCUCCAGGAGCCAUCUUUGUUUCUUCAUGGUCUUCUUUUGCGUUGCUCUUCUUUUCCAUUAAGGGACUCUCAGAGGGGCUAGUCUUUACUUCUCCUAAAAGAUAAAGAGGGUUUGUGACUCGACGGUACUACCUUGCUCCACAUUCCUUUCUAUCCACUCCUGAAACCCUUCUUGAAAUAACAGAACCAGACGAUAAGGGCACAGAAAACUGCACAUCCCACCGAGAUGAGGAUGGUACCCCACAGAGGAAGUUUGUCAAAGCCCAGCACUACGAGAUAAAAUGGUGCAUCUUGAAAACCCCAGGGCAACAGCCCCCUGCAACAAUGUGUAAACCCUCCUGAGGGGAAGGAGGGCUUCCCCAAGCCAGCCCGUCACCGUCACCCGUUUCAGCUGCUGCCAUUCCAGAGUUUCAUCAGGCUACUGGCUAUGCAGACCGUGGAGAAAACGUGAAUGACCAUCUUAAACCCACAGCAACCAGAGCCACUGAAACACUUGCUGGACUCAUGUGCUAACUUUCUUCAAGAAUCACUACAGUAAGGACCUGUAACUAUAAAAACAAUCACAGCAUCCCUUUCUGCACUCAGCUCCUCAUCCUAACCGCCCCACAUUACAUUUACAUAUGACUUAUUUUAAUGUCAAAAGGGAGUGUCUCAAGUCAGUGUCAUGCAGACACCACACACU
ensembl:processed_transcript 9830144P21Rik RIKEN cDNA 9830144P21 gene